rnacentral:rRNA from 1 species
UUAAGCGACUAAGCGUACACGGUGGAUGCCCUGGCAGUCAGAGGCGAUGAAGGACGUGCUAAUCUGCGAUAAGCGUCGGUAAGGUGAUAUGAACCGUUAUAACCGGCGAUUUCCGAAUGGGGAAACCCAGUGUGUUUCGACACACUAUCAUUAACUGAAUCCAUAGGUUAAUGAGGCGAACCGGGGGAACUGAAACAUCUAAGUACCCCGAGGAAAAGAAAUCAACCGAGAUUCCCCCAGUAGCGGCGAGCGAACGGGGAGGAGCCCAGAGCCUGAAUCAGUGUGUGUGUUAGUGGAAGCGUCUGGAAAGGCGCGCGAUACAGGGUGACAGCCCCGUACACAAAAAUGCACAUGCUGUGAGCUCGAUGAGUAGGGCGGGACACGUGGUAUCCUGUCUGAAUAUGGGGGGACCAUCCUCCAAGGCUAAAUACUCCUGACUGACCGAUAGUGAACCAGUACCGUGAGGGAAAGGCGAAAAGAACCCCGGCGAGGGGAGUGAAAAAGAACCUGAAACCGUGUACGUACAAGCAGUGGGAGCACGCUUAGGCGUGUGACUGCGUACCUUUUGUAUAAUGGGUCAGCGACUUAUAUUCUGUAGCAAGGUUAACCGAAUAGGGGAGCCGAAGGGAAACCGAGUCUUAACUGGGCGUUAAGUUGCAGGGUAUAGACCCGAAACCCGGUGAUCUAGCCAUGGGCAGGUUGAAGGUUGGGUAACACUAACUGGAGGACCGAACCGACUAAUGUUGAAAAAUUAGCGGAUGACUUGUGGCUGGGGGUGAAAGGCCAAUCAAACCGGGAGAUAGCUGGUUCUCCCCGAAAGCUAUUUAGGUAGCGCCUCGUGAAUUCAUCUCCGGGGGUAGAGCACUGUUUCGGCAAGGGGGUCAUCCCGACUUACCAACCCGAUGCAAACUGCGAAUACCGGAGAAUGUUAUCACGGGAGACACACGGCGGGUGCUAACGUCCGUCGUGAAGAGGGAAACAACCCAGACCGCCAGCUAAGGUCCCAAAGUCAUGGUUAAGUGGGAAACGAUGUGGGAAGGCCCAGACAGCCAGGAUGUUGGCUUAGAAGCAGCCAUCAUUUAAAGAAAGCGUAAUAGCUCACUGGUCGAGUCGGCCUGCGCGGAAGAUGUAACGGGGCUAAACCAUGCACCGAAGCUGCGGCAGCGACGCUUAUGCGUUGUUGGGUAGGGGAGCGUUCUGUAAGCCUGUGAAGGUGUGCUGUGAGGCAUGCUGGAGGUAUCAGAAGUGCGAAUGCUGACAUAAGUAACGAUAAAGCGGGUGAAAAGCCCGCUCGCCGGAAGACCAAGGGUUCCUGUCCAACGUUAAUCGGGGCAGGGUGAGUCGACCCCUAAGGCGAGGCCGAAAGGCGUAGUCGAUGGGAAACAGGUUAAUAUUCCUGUACUUGGUGUUACUGCGAAGGGGGGACGGAGAAGGCUAUGUUGGCCGGGCGACGGUUGUCCCGGUUUAAGCGUGUAGGCUGGUUUUCCAGGCAAAUCCGGAAAAUCAAGGCUGAGGCGUGAUGACGAGGCACUACGGUGCUGAAGCAACAAAUGCCCUGCUUCCAGGAAAAGCCUCUAAGCAUCAGGUAACAUCAAAUCGUACCCCAAACCGACACAGGUGGUCAGGUAGAGAAUACCAAGGCGCUUGAGAGAACUCGGGUGAAGGAACUAGGCAAAAUGGUGCCGUAACUUCGGGAGAAGGCACGCUGAUAUGUAGGUGAAGUCCCUCGCGGAUGGAGCUGAAAUCAGUCGAAGAUACCAGCUGGCUGCAACUGUUUAUUAAAAACACAGCACUGUGCAAACACGAAAGUGGACGUAUACGGUGUGACGCCUGCCCGGUGCCGGAAGGUUAAUUGAUGGGGUUAGCGCAAGCGAAGCUCUUGAUCGAAGCCCCGGUAAACGGCGGCCGUAACUAUAACGGUCCUAAGGUAGCGAAAUUCCUUGUCGGGUAAGUUCCGACCUGCACGAAUGGCGUAAUGAUGGCCAGGCUGUCUCCACCCGAGACUCAGUGAAAUUGAACUCGCUGUGAAGAUGCAGUGUACCCGCGGCAAGACGGAAAGACCCCGUGAACCUUUACUAUAGCUUGACACUGAACAUUGAGCCUUGAUGUGUAGGAUAGGUGGGAGGCUUGGAAGUGUGGACGCCAGUCUGCAUGGAGCCGACCUUGAAAUACCACCCUUUAAUGUUUGAUGUUCUAACGUUGACCCGUAAUCCGGGUUGCGGACAGUGUCUGGUGGGUAGUUUGACUGGGGCGGUCUCCUCCUAAAGAGUAACGGAGGAGCACGAAGGUUGGCUAAUCCUGGUCGGACAUCAGGAGGUUAGUGCAAUGGCAUAAGCCAGCUUGACUGCGAGCGUGACGGCGCGAGCAGGUGCGAAAGCAGGUCAUAGUGAUCCGGUGGUUCUGAAUGGAAGGGCCAUCGCUCAACGGAUAAAAGGUACUCCGGGGAUAACAGGCUGAUACCGCCCAAGAGUUCAUAUCGACGGCGGUGUUUGGCACCUCGAUGUCGGCUCAUCACAUCCUGGGGCUGAAGUAGGUCCCAAGGGUAUGGCUGUUCGCCAUUUAAAGUGGUACGCGAGCUGGGUUUAGAACGUCGUGAGACAGUUCGGUCCCUAUCUGCCGUGGGCGCUGGAGAACUGAGGGGGGCUGCUCCUAGUACGAGAGGACCGGAGUGGACGCAUCACUGGUGUUCGGGUUGUCAUGCCAAUGGCACUGCCCGGUAGCUAAAUGCGGAAGAGAUAAGUGCUGAAAGCAUCUAAGCACGAAACUUGCCCCGAGAUGAGUUCUCCCUGACCCUUUAAGGGUCCUGAAGGAACGUUGAAGACGACGACGUUGAUAGGCCGGGUGUGUAAGCGCAGCGAUGCGUUGAGCUAACCGGUACUAAUGAACCGUGAGGCUUAACCUU